CGGUGUCCUGUGCCUGUCCAUGUGCAAUUGUUUGGUUGAAAAAUGCCACCAUGUUUACGGCUGCAAUGUUGGUUGUGAAUAUGGAAAGUUGGGUUAUAAUUGUGAGAAGACCUGUCGAUACCCUAGCUAUGGUGACGAAUGCCAAUUACAAUGCAACUGUACCAAAGAACAUUGUGAUCCCUCUAAAGGAUGUAAAGCUGAAAAUACCACACCAUAUCACCUAAAAUCAUCAGCUACUCUUCUAACAUCAUCAGAAGUAUUUCCAGCUCCAAC